rnacentral:tRNA from 1 species
AGUGUAGUUCAGUGGUAGAGCCCUUGCCUAGCAUGCACAAGGCCCUGGGUUCCAUCCCCAGCACU